UGUUGUGUGUCUAUAGUAGGGCUGUCAGCAUUAACGCCUUCAUCGCGAUGUGAUUAAGGGCCGAGCAUAAUGCGUUAAUUUUUUUAAUUGCAUGCCGCCAUUUAUUAAUUUAUUUUACAUUUGACUCAGGUUUGCGUUG